rnacentral:rRNA from 1 species
GUGAGGAAUAUUGGUCAAUGGGCGGGAGCCUGAACCAGCCAAGUCGCGUGAAGGAAGAAGGAUCUAUGGUUCGUACACUUCUUUUGCAGGGGAAUAAAGUGCAGGACGUGUCCUGUUUUGUAUGUACCCUGAGAAUAAGGAUCGGCUAACUCCGUGCCAGCAGCCGCGGUAAUACGGAGGAUCCGAGCGUUAUCCGGAUUUAUUGGGUUUAAAGGGUGCGUAGGUGGUUUGAUAAGUCAGCGGUGAAAGUUUGCAGCUUAACUGGAGAAAUGCCGUUGAAACUGUCGGACUUGAGUGUAAAUGAGGUAGGCGGAAUGCGUGGUGUAGCGGUGAAAUGCAUAGAUAUCACGCAGAACUCCGAUUGCGAAGGCAGCUUACUAAGCUACAACUGACACUGAAGCACGAAAGCGUGGGGAUCAAACAGGAUUAGAAACCCGAGUAGUCC